GAUGAACGCUAGCGGCAGGCCUAAUACAUGCAAGUCGAACGGUGUCUUCGGACAUAGUGGCGCACGGGUGCGUAACACGUAUGCAACCUACCUUACAUUGGGGGAUAGCCUUUCGAAAGGGAGAUUGAUACCGCAUAAGACAGUAGCUGGGCAUCCAGCAGCUGUUAAAGAUUUAUCGAUGUAAGCUGGGCAUGCGUCCAAUUAGCUAGUUGGUGAGGUAACGGCUCACCAAGGCAAUGAUUGGUAGGGGAACUGAGAGGUCAAUCCCCCACACUGGCACUGAGAUACGGGCCAGACUCCUACGGGAGGCAGCAGUAGGGAAUAUUGGCAAUGGACGCAAGUCUGACCCAGCCAUGCCGCGUGCAGGAUGAAGGCGUUAUGCGUUGUAGACUGCUUUUAUACAGGAAGAAACGACUCUUGCGAGAGGCAUUGACGGUACUGUAUGAAUAAGCACCGGCUAACUCCGUGCCAGCAGCCGCCGUAAAAC
rnacentral:rRNA from 1 species